rnacentral:rRNA from 1 species
CAGCCUCCUGGGAUANCACUGACGUUCAUGCCCGAAAGCGUGGGUAGCAANCAGGAUUAGAUACCCUGGUAGUCCACGCCCUAAACGAUGUCGAUUAGCUGUUGGGCAGCAUGACUGCUUAGUAGCGAAGCUAACGCGUGAAAUCGACCGCCUGGGGAGUACGGUCGCAAGAUUAAAACUCAAAGGAAUUGACGGGGACCCGCACAAGCGGUGGAUGAUGUGGAUUAAUUCGAUGCAACGCGAAGAACCUUACCUGGUCUUGACAUGUACGGAACCCUCCAGAGACGGAGGAGUGCCUUCGGGAGCCGUAACACAGGUGCUGCAUGGCUGUCGUCAGCUCGUGUCGUGAGAUGUUGGGUUGAGUNNNNNNNNGAGCGCAACCCUUGUCAUUAGUUGCCAUCAUUAAGUUGGGCACUCUAAUGAGACUGCCGGUGACAAGCCGGAGGAAGGUGGGGAUGACGUCAAGUCCUCAUGGCCCUUAUGACCAGGGCUUCACACGUCAUACAAUGGUCGGUACAGAGGGUAGCCAAGCCGCGAGGCGGAGCCAAUCUCACAAAACCGAUCGUAGUCCGGAUUGCACUCUGCAACU